UGGGGUAUAUUGCACAAUGGGCGAAAGCCUGAUGCAGCGACGCCGCGUGAGGGAUGGAGGCCUUCGGGUUGUAAACCUCUUUCAGUAAGGGUGAAGGCUCUCUUUUGUGGAGGGUUGACAGUACUUGCAGAAGAAGCGCCGGCUAACUACGUGCCAGCAGCCGCGGUAAUACGUAGGGCGCGAGCGUUGUCCGGAAUUAUUGGGCGUAAAGGGCUUGUAGGUGGCGUGUCGCGUCUGCUGUGAAAUUCCAGGGCUUAACUUUGGGAUUGCAGUGGGUACGGGCAUGCUAGAGUGCAGUAGGGGAGAUUGGAAUUCCUGGUGUAGCGGUGAAAUGCGCAGAUAUCAGGAGGAACACCGGUGGCGAAGGCGGGUCUCUGGGCUGUUACUGACGCUGAGGAGCGAAAGCGUGGGGAGCGAACAGG
rnacentral:rRNA from 1 species